rnacentral:ribozyme from 12 species
CAGGCGCGGCACCACGAUCAGAUACACCACUCCGCCGGGAAGGUCUGCCACGAGGGUGCCAUCCUCGAGGAGCUUCCCCUGGAGAGAGAGGCGCACCGAGAUCGCUGAGAC